rnacentral:misc_RNA from 1 species
GUGAAUCAUCGAAUCUUUGAACGCAAAUUGCACUCUCUGGUAUUCCGGAGAGUAUGCCUGUUUGAGGGUCAGUUUAAAUAAAAAAUCGGUUUGUUUGCUGCCUUUCGUGUUGACUCACCGGAUUUGGGUCUUCUUGCCUUCGGUUAAGUUACCUAAAAUUUUGCAUGAUUUUUUUCGACCUUAUUUAAAUGAUUUUACUUACUUUUCCGUUAUCGACUACUAUGUGUGUUCAUCCUCAUGAUUCCCGCCUAUAAUUUUUCAUCAACAUGACCUCAAAUCAGGUAAGAGUACCCGCUUAA